rnacentral:lncRNA from 1 species
GACGCUUCCCGUACGUUCCCGCCUUCCCGGUCUCAGCUUCAGCUAGCACCCAAUCCAAUCCAACCAUCACGUGCUCAUGAUCCUUAUUCGUUCAUUCUACUACGUACACCCUGCAAGUGCAAUCUGCAAUGCCUAGUCCUACUUCUAUCUAUCUAGAGUAGAAUUGUACGUAGUCGUCGGUCCACUAGUCCCGCUGGGUACUCCUAGAUGAGAUGAGAGGCAGGCCCGUGACUGAAACCAACUAGAGAAGCCGACGCCGGCCGGUACUAAACCAACCCUCCCUCAUCAUAAUAAAAACCCAGAACUUGCCGUGAACCCCGCCGACUCUGACUGAAGGAGACCGCCGCCAAUCCGAUCCGGCCCGCCGACCCUUCUCGUCAACCUCCGCCGAGCCAGGGGCCGAGAAGCAGGAACAAAGAUGUCGGAUCCUUCCGUAGAUCUCGAGAAAGGCAUCAUCACCGGGCUGAAGGAGGAGGAGAAAGGCAUCACCGGGCUGAAGGAGGAGGAGGAGGAGGAGGUUGUUCAUCAAUUUAAAGAUCCCAUUGAGGUCAUGUGUGUGAAGCGCUUUAUGGUGAGGCUUUUUUUGCUUUUCUCUGCCCUAGGACUAGGAUGAUCUAUGUGUUUGUGUUUCCUUUCUCCUCAAUUUAGAUCCACCAGUUAGUUGACAGAUCCUAACUGAACGGAUCUUAGACGACCCCCCAACAUUAGCUAAAAGCAACUGUUUGAUUUCAACUUUUUUUUAAAAGGUAGUUUGAAAUUUCAAUUUCUUAUUUCUGCUAGUUAUAUACACCAGCAUGCUAUUAGUAUGUGUUGCCCAAAUUACUUCCUUCAUGUACUAGUAGUUUUCUUUUGGGUGGAGGUGGAGGGGUGGGGCUGGUAGCUAAGCAUCCAAUGACUAUGAGCUUCAUCUUGUUUGAACCCACCAUAGUAUGUUGUGACCUUUUGGCUUCUGCAUGUCACGGUUUCAUGGUUGAUAAUUUCUAUGUAGUAUAAUUUAUCUUUUCUGAUUAGGAACUACUAGCACAUUAUUAUUUAUCCUGCCUGCCCAAUAAGGCAAUAAUCUUUUGCUUCUCUCUGCCUUUUGUAGGAUGUGUACCCCGUGCUGUUUUUUGUGGUGGCCCUGUUCGGGGCGCUGGCAAUCUACAGGGAAAAACACAUCUGGUGGCCAGCUCUUAUCCUGUUGGCUUGUGCAACCUUGACUUUCUGGACCUUUCACGGGUUGAAGCGCACAUGUAGUAUUCAGCAUAAUACAUUAGCAACAAGCGCCGACAGCGAUCUUAGCAACACACUACUAAUAGCAUCAUCUAAGAAUUAAGCCAACAGGCCAGUGAGUUAAGUGAAUAAGAGCAUCUCCAACAAUUUGGCAAAAACUGUUUGGCAAAUCUUGACUUUUGACAAGUUGAUAAAAAGAAUGGCAAGU